AGGACGAACGCUGGCGGCGUGCUUAACACAUGCAAGUCGAGCGGUGAUCCUCCUUCGGGAGGUGAUCAGCGGCGAACGGGUGAGUAACACGUGGGCAACCUGCCCCUCACACUGGGAUAACCUCGGGAAACCGGGGCUAAUACCGGAUACGACCUCGAGCGGCAUCUCUUGAGGUGGAAAGCUCCGACGGUGAGGGAUGGGCCCGCGGCCUAUCAGCUUGUUGGUGGGGUAAUGGCCUACCAAAGGCGACGACGGGUA
rnacentral:rRNA from 1 species